rnacentral:antisense_RNA from 1 species
ACUAAAGCCCUAAAAAAUUAAACUUUACAUAGUAAAAAAGUGUGUAGUGAUGGGGGAGGGAGUGGAUCUUAAUUUGAAUGCAUGACAAAGGAGUAUAUUUCCAUCUUCCCGAUGGUGUCAGACCCUUUAGGAUUUACCAAGGCAAGAGAGAUGCAACUGGGGAGGGCGAGGGAAAAAAGGUGGAAUAUGAUAAUAUUAAAAUAGAAAAACAAGAGUAAAAAAGGAGAUAGAAGGAUUAGAUGUGAUCUAGUGAAUCAUAAUCAACAAAGAAAAAGGAAAAAUAAACAUUAGUGAACCUUUAGCAAUAAAAAGGCUCCCAAAUACUUCAAAUUAAUUCCCCCAAUAUCUACUUAAAGUAAAAAAUAUUUAAUAAAUAUAUGUUCCCGCCUGCCACGUAACAUACAAAAUGACAUAAUGAGAAUUACGUGCAUGCAUUCACUGCGGUUAAGUUUUGGUGGGCCGAAUAAAAAAAAUUAUGCCUCUCUUUUAUUGAAUCUGUUAUUUCCAUGAUAUCCACCUCUAUGACUUCCUCCACCUCUUCUAUGAUGAGAACCUCUGUUAUAGGACCCAGUACGAGGUUUUACAGCUGACGUUCCAAAGGUUUCCUUGUCUAUUUGUUUUUGUUUUUCUCUGAGGGCUUUAGCUUGGGGAUCAGAUGAACCUUGAGGUUUUUUUGAGCGCUCAGGAUCUAAAGUUUCACAGGAAAUGCUAUCAAAGAAUCCAGAAACUUUGUUGUAUCCUCCAACCGUUAGUUUUUUGGAUGGGUCAUCAUCAGUAGUAUCAUUACUUGCAUUAGAAUUUCCACUAAUACCUAGACCUGUAUUCAUAGCUCCAGAUUUGUUACCGGUAUCUGAAAUGGUACCUUCUAAUUUAACUCCCUGUUCCGUUUGAGCAGAAGCAAGUCCUUCAUUGAGCGUUUUCUCGAAUUUCUUAUUUUGUUCGGAAAAAUCAAAUUCAGUAUCAAGUUCUGCUUUGAGAGCCUGAUUAAUUCUAGGCUUUAGUUCUCCAACAAUGAAAGACCUUUGACUACCUCCACCAUUGUUAUAAUGAGAGCUUCCUCCGCUACCUUUAUAAGAUUUUCCUGAAUAUCCACCACCUCUUUGUCUAUUCCUGGAAUGAUCUUUGCGUCCGUUCGAGAUUGAUGAGCUCCCUUGAUUAGUGCCUGAGGGUUUUCCUCCGGAUACAGCAUUGCUAUAGCUCAUUUUAGGGGAACGUCUAGAGUUACUUGAACUAGUUUCAAGUGGUUUUUGCUGAUUAACACUGCUAGUAUCAGCGACAUGACUCUGACCUUGGCUCUGAGCUGAAGUAGUCCCUGAUCCUCCAUUAACUGAUAAUAUCGCAGGAUCAUUUGGAAGUCC